UGGGGAAUAUUGGGCAAUGGGCGCAAGCCUGACCCAGCAACGCCGCGUGAAGGAAGAAGGCUUUCGGGUUGUAAACUUCUUUUAAGAGGGACGAAACAAAUGACGGUACCUCUUGAAUAAGCCACGGCUAACUACGUGCCAGCAGCCGCGGUAAUACGUAGGUGGCAAGCGUUAUCCGGAUUUAUUGGGUGUAAAGGGCGUGUAGGCGGGAUAGCAAGUCAGAUGUGAAAACUAUGGGCUCAACCCAUAGCCUGCAUUUGAAACUGUUAUUCUUGAGUGCUGGAGAGGCAAUCGGAAUUCCGU
rnacentral:rRNA from 1 species